AUCUCUGUAGAGUCUGCAUAUCAAUAAGCGGAGGAAAAGAAACUAACUAGGAUUCCCUUAGUAACGGCGAGUGAAGCGGGAAGAGCUCAAAUUUGAAAUCUUCAAGGUUCUACCUUGACGAAUUGUAGUUUAAAGAAGUGUUUUCUGUUAGAGUGAGUAGCAAAAGUUCCUUUGGAAUAGGGACAUCAUAGAGGGUGAGAAUCCCGUAUUUGACUUAUUCAUUCUAGCUUUGUGAUACACUUUCAAAGAGUCGGAUUGUUUGGGAAUGCAGUCCAAAAUGGGUGGUAAAUUUCAUCUAAAGCUAAAUAUUGGCGAGAGACCGAUAGCGAACAAGUACCGUGAGGGAAAGAUGAAAAGAACUUUGAAAAGAGAGUUAAACAGUACGUGAAAUUGUCAAAAGGGAAGCGUUUGACACCAGUGUUGUUUUCUCGAAAAUCAAUUAAAAAUGGCAGUGAUUUUGUGUUGUAUUGACCUUAUAAGCUUUCUGCACUCUUUUCAUGUCUUUUUUUAAUGCACUUUUCGUUUAACAAGUCAACAUCAAUUUCUUUUGUUGUAAAAAGGGUCAUUGGAAGGUGGCUUUCUUUUCGGAGAAAGUGUUUAUAGCCUUUGACUUCUGCAAUCGGAGAGACUGAGGUCUGCAGCGUAGAUCCUUCGGGAUUAGAUUACAUUUGUGCUAAGUGUACAGCCUUUUAUAGACAACUUGUUGACUAUAGUUCGAUCCUGUAGGCUUACUCGCUUAGUGUAUUUUACCUACGCUUAGGAUGUUGAAGAUGUAGCACAUCAU
rnacentral:rRNA from 1 species